rnacentral:rRNA from 1 species
GAGGGGGUUAUACAUAUGACAAUGUCAGAGCGGUAGCACGGGGUAGCUUGCUCCUGGGUGACGAGCGGCGGACGGGUGAGUAAUGUCUGGGGAUCUGCCUGAUGGAGGGGGAUAACUACUGGAAACGGUAGCUAAUACCGCAUAACGUCGCAAGACCAAAGAGGGGGACCUUCGGGCCUCUUGCCAUCAGAUGAACCCAGAUGGGAUUAGCUAGUAGGUGGGGUAAUGGCUCACCUAGGCGACGAUCCCUAGCUGGUCUGAGAGGAUGACCAGCCACACUGGAACUGAGACACGGUCCAGACUCCUACGGGAGGCAGCAGUGGGGAAUAUUGCACAAUGGGCGCAAGCCUGAUGCAGCCAUGCCGCGUGUAUGAAGAAGGCCUUCGGGUUGUAAAGUACUUUCAGCGAGGAGGAAGGCGUUAAGGUUAAUAACCUUAGCGAUUGACGUUACUCGCAGAAGAAGCACCGGCUAACUCCGUGCCAGCAGCCGCGGUAAUACGGAGGGUGCAAGCGUUAAUCGGAAUUACUGGGCGUAAAGCGCACGCAGGCGGUUUGUUAAGUCGGAUGUGAAAUCCCCGGGCUCAACCUGGGAACUGCAUUCGAAACUGGCAAGCUUGAGUCUUGUAGAGGGGGGUAGAAUUCCAGGUGUAGCGGUGAAAUGCGUAGAGAUCUGGAGGAAUACCGGUGGCGAAGGCGGCCCCCUGGACAAAGACUGACGCUCAGGUGCGAAAGCGUGGGGAGCAAACAGGAUUAGAUACCCUGGUAGUCCACGCCGUAAACGAUGUCGACUUGGAGGUUGUGCCCUUGAGGCGUGGCUUCCGGAGCUAACGCGUUAAGUCGACCGCCUGGGGAGUACGGCCGCAAGGUUAAAACUCAAAUGAAUUGACGGGGGCCCGCACAAGCGGUGGAGCAUGUGGUUUAAUUCGAUGCAACGCGAAGAACCUUACCUACUCUUGACAUCCAGAGAACUUUUCCAGAGAUGGAUUUGCUGCCUUCGGGAACUCUGAGACAGGGUGCUGCAUGGC